ACCUACAAGACAAGAAAAUAUAGAACACUUACAUUAAUUUGAAUGCCAUUAACCCAGAAUUUUUAAAUAAUUUAAUCUAAAUUAAAUAUUUAAAUAUUAAACAUUUAACUAAGCAGGUGAAUUAUGUAAGCAGUAUUACCAAGUACAUAUUAAAUUAUUAAGAGAUUAAGGAUUUCAGUGUGGGAAAUUUUAUUAGUUUAUUUUUUUAUUAUUAUUUUUUAUGUCAUUUAUUGUUAAGUUAGCUAACAUACAAUGUGCACUUGGCUUCAGGAGUAGAUUCCUGUGAUCAGUGUGGAAAUUCUUAUGCCACCAUAAAAAUAGAUGUUUAAAAUGAUGGUUAAGGGGUUGGGGCUCCUGGAUGGCUCAGUUGGUUGGGCGUCCGACUUUGACUCAGGUCGUGAUCUCACAGUUUGUGGGUUCGAGCCCCGUGUCGGGCUCUGUGCUGACAGCUCAGAGCCCGGAGCCUGUUUCAGAUUCUGUCUCCCUCUCUCUCUGCCCCUCCCCCACUCAUGCUCUGUCUCUGUCUCUCUCAAAAAUAAAUAAACAUUAAAAAAAUGAUGGCUAAGGGGCACGUGGCUGUCUCAGUCAUUAGAGUCUGCAACUCUUGAUCUCGAGGUUGUAGGUUAGAGCCCCAUGUUAGGUAUAGAGAUUACUUAAAAAAAAUGAAACCUUUAAAAAUAUAAUGAUGGUUAAGUGGUAUAGUUAGAAAUGUUUACACUAAACAAACAUCAGAAAUGCCUCUAACUUUGCUAAUUACAGAAUAAACAUCUCUCCAGCCUCAUUGUCAAGGAAGAAAUGUUUGCAUAUAUCUCUGUACAUUAGACAUACAGAGAUACUAAUGUUCUUUGCUAUGGAGGUUCAGUGUUUAUUCUUUGUCCAUGCCAUGCAAAGCUGUGUAUUUCAUUAAUCCUUUUUUAAAAAUUUUUUUAAUGUUUAUUUAUUUUUGAGAGAGAGAGAGAGACAGAGUAUGAGCAGGGUAGGCACAGAGAGAGAGGGAGACACAGAAUCCGAAGCGGGCUUCAGUCUCUGAGCUGUUGGCCCAGAUCCCGAUGCGGGGCUCGAAUUCAUGAGCAGUGAGAUCAUGACCUGAACCGAACGAAGUCAGAUGCUCAAUUGACUAAGCCAUCCAGGCGCCCCUCAUUAAUCCUUAUUAAUGAUGUGCUUUAGAAAAUAGAUUCUUCUUGCAAAUGUGGAAGGCUUAAGGGUAGUGAGUAAAAAGAAUCUCAUAUGACACUAAAAAUAGUCCUUCAAAUUAUCAAACCUUCCAAGUCUUAGGGGACAACCACUUUGUAUUGGUCUUCUUGGCUACCUCUGCCAUCUGGGCUCCAAACGUUACAAACACAGUUUGGAGAAAAACAAAAGAGACAAACUGCGCAAUGGAUAGGGCCUUUCAUUAUUUCUACUAUGAGGUACUUUGUAAGCCAAUUAUUUCAUGUCAGGUGAAGUGUUCUCAUUCAUUCAUUCAUUCAAAAAAAAUGUGAAUCAAAACCUAAAAAAGAAUGUGACAGGCCCUAUGCCCAGUACCAUAGGCACGCAGAUGGUUAAGACAGGCUUCCCACCCUUGUAGGAACUCAUGAUUUCACAGGGAAAAUAAACAGAAGCUUAAACCAUAACGCCUAAGCACUAAAUGGAUGAUGAAGCACUGACAAAGUGCAGAAGAGGGAGCCACAAAGUCAUAAAACCACAUUUCUUUUCAGUCGUUUUGCUCCUUCUACUCACUACCCAGCUGUUAAUUUAUUUUAUAAAUAUUUGAGUUUGUUCUUUGUCCAUGCAUCAGUUUUAAACACAGUAGACAACGCAGAUGAGCAAGACUAGUCCAUACUUUCAUGGAGUUUAUGCCCAGAGGAAAUGGAAUGCCAGAAUAACUAUAUUAAGAAGAAAUUGGGGCACCUGACCGGCUGAGUCAGUAGAGCAUGCGACUCUUGAUCUCAGGG